rnacentral:rRNA from 1 species
GAUGAACGCUGGCGGCGUGCCUAACACAUGCAAGUCGAACGGAGUCGUUUUGGAAAUCUCUUCGGAGAUGGAAUUCUCGACUUAGUGGCGGACGGGUGAGUAACGCGUGAGCAAUCUGCCUUUAAGAGGGGGAUAACAGUCGGAAACGGCUGCUAAUACCGCAUAAAGCAUUAAAUUCGCAUGUUUUUGAUGCCAAAGGAGCAAUCCGCUUUUAGAUGAGCUCGCGUCUGAUUAGCUAGUUGGCGGGGUAACGGCCCACCAAGGCGACGAUCAGUAGCCGGACUGAGGGGUAGAACGGCCACAUUGGGACUGAGACACGGCCCAGACUCCUACGGGAGGCAGCAGUGGGGAAUAGUGCGCAAUGGGGGAAACCCUGACGCAGCAACGCCGCGUGAUUGAAGAAGGCCUUCGGGUUGUAAAGAUCUUUAAUCAGGGACGAAACAAAUGACGGUACCUGAAGAAUAAGCUCCGGCUAACUACGUG